GACUCUGUAAUACUCUCCUUUCUCAUCUUUACUUCUUAGUUUCACUGGUUUCCUCCAAGACUCAUCUUAGACCUCACCUUCGAAAGGAAGUCUUUUGUAGUUCCCCUCAGCCAGCAAACCCUUCAGCCUGAAGUUCUCAACUCUCUGGACUUUCAUCUAUCACCAGAUUCAAAUUUAUCUCUUAAUAUGCACAAGGUCCUGGAGACAAAAAGAAAUAACAGCCUUUUCACGAAGGAACCUGCAUUCUAAUGAAGGAUAUUACAUGUCACCAGUGAUAAGAUGUGAUGUGCUGGAAAGAAUGCUGAAUUUGGAAGAAGUCCUGUGUUCAAAUCUCAAGCUCUGCUAUAUAUUACUUGUGUUACUUUGGAUAAGGAAGUAAAAAAUAAUAGGGAAAAUAUGACUUCGUCAAAGUCACACGAUGGACCAGGGACAUAGAUGAGGACAGGAUCCGAAUCUCCUGGCAAUUAGAUUUGCUCUUCUUCCAUUUCAUCAUAUUCUGUACAUUCUGAGCACUACCACUUUGGACCAAAAUUAUUCAGCUUUCAGAGAAAAUCAAGAAGAAAAAUGAGAUUUUACCAUGGCUACCCCUUCUAAUUGCAUAGUGAGAAGGGCUAGGUUUCUCACAUUGCCAACUUCAUAGGUGAUGUCUGCAGGCUAUCCACCAGCCCAGGACCAGAAUUCUAAAUACUAUAAGUCUUGACAUAGUUUUUGUGAUGGUGAUGAUGAUGAAGAUGACGAUGACAAUGAGGACAGCUCCUUUUAGAAAUCAUUCUAAGUUUACAAAGCAUUUUGAUUACAAUGGCCUUUCAAGGUGGGUGGUAUAGUUCAGUAUCACUUUUUUAUGUCACUCACACUAUCCACUGACUUUCCCUCUCAUUUUAGAAUGUCUUCCCUCUGGUAACAAAUAAAUACAAUUCAGCAAAACA
rnacentral:lncRNA from 1 species